CUCGCUCGUACCGUUCACCAAUGGUUAGCCAAUAAACGAAGCGUUUCUCUUCAUGUCUCUCUUGAUGUGCUUCUAUCGUUUCUUUCAAUGAGAGACAUUUGAUUUGGGUUUAUAAGAUUAGUGGAGUUCUUCUUAAUAAUAAUGUGCAAUUGUCUAAUUGCAAGAUUGUUGGACUUGCAACUCCUCGAUUUCUUUCAAUUCCUUGGGCUCAAGAUAAUGAUAGUACAAGGAAGUUUUAUAAUUGUGAGGUUAGUAUCUUUUCUGACUAAAUUGAGAUUUAACCCAUAAACUUUGUUAUAAAAUUUUUGAAAUGUUUCCUC